rnacentral:rRNA from 1 species
UGCAGUCGAACGCUUCUUUCCUCCCGAGUGCUUGCACUCAAUUGGAAAGAGGAGUGGCGGACGGGUGAGUAACACGUGGGUAACCUACCCAUCAGAGGGGGAUAACACUUGGAAACAGGUGCUAAUACCGCAUAACAGUUUAUGCCGCAUGGCAUAAGAGUGAAAGGCGCUUUCGGGUGUCGCUGAUGGAUGGACCCGCGGUGCAUUAGCUAGUUGGUGAGGUAACGGCUCACCAAGGCCACGAUGCAUAGCCGACCUGAGAGGGUGAUCGGCCACACUGGGACUGAGACACGGCCCAGACUCCUACGGGAGGCAGCAGUAGGGAAUCUUCGGCAAUGGACGAAAGUCUGACCGAGCAACGCCGCGUGAGUGAAGAAGGUUUUCGGAUCGUAAAACUCUGUUGUUAGAGAAGAACAAGGACGUUAGUAACUGAACGUCCCCUGACGGUAUCUAACCAGAAAGCCACGGCUAACUACGUGC